rnacentral:misc_RNA from 1 species
UUGCUGACGCUGUUAUUGGAACUGCUGGUGCUAGUAUUAGCUACAUUCGUCGUGCUAGUGGGGCAACUGUUACUAUUCAAGAAACGAGGGGAGUCCCUGGGGAAAUGACGGUAGAAAUGAGUGGAACUGCUUCUCAAGUUCAAGCAGCCCAGCAGCUUAUACAGAAUUUUAUGGCCGGUGCUGGAGCUCCAGCCCAGCCUCAAGCUGGGGUUUCAACAGACCAAGGCUACAACUCGUAUGCUGCUCACGGUUCAGUGUACGCG